AGAGCGAACGCUGGCGGCAGGCCUAACACAUGCAAGUCGAGCGCCCGUAGCAAUACGGGAGCGGCAGACGGGAGAGUAACACGUGGGAACGCGCCCUUCGGUUCGGAAUAACUCAGGGAAACUUGGGCUAAUACCGGAUAAGCCCUUACGGGGGAAAGAUUUAUCGCCGAAAAGAUUGGCCCGCGUCUGAUUAGCUAGUUGGUGAGGUAACGGCUCACCAAGGCGACGAUCAGUAGCUGGUCUGAGAGGAUGAUCAGCCACAUUGGGACUGAGACACGGCCCAAACUCCUACGGGAGGCAGCAGUGGGGAAUAUUGGACAAUGGGCGCAAGCCUGAUCCAGCCAUGCCGCGUGAGUGAUGAAGGCCCUAGGGUUGUAAAGCUCUUUUGUGCGGAAGAUAAUGACGGUACCGCAAGAAUAAGCCCGGCUAACUUCGUGCCAGCAGCCGC
rnacentral:rRNA from 1 species